AUUGAACGCUGGCGGCAUGCCUUACACAUGCAAGUCGAACGGCAGCAUAGGAGCUUGCUCCUGAUGGCGAGUGGCGAACGGGUGAGUAAUAUAUCGGAACGUGCCCUAGAGUGGGGGAUAACUAGUCGAAAGACUAGCUAAUACCGCAUACGAUCUACGGAUGAAAGUGGGGGAUCGCAAGACCUCAUGCUCCUGGAGCGGCCGAUAUCUGAUUAGCUAGUUGGUGGGGUAAAAGCCUACCAAGGCAACGAUCAGUAGCUGGUCGGAGAGGACGACCAGCCACACUGGGACGGAGACACGGCCCAGACUCCGACGGGAGGCAGCAGUGGGGAAUUUUGGACAAUGGGGGCAACCCUGAUCCAGCAAUGCCGCGUGAGUGAAGAAGGCCUUCGGGUUGUAAAGCUCUUUUGUCAGGGAAGAAACGGUAGUAGCGAAUAACUACUACUAAUGACGGUACCUGAAGAAUAAGCACCGGCUAACUACGUGCCAGCCGCCGCCGUAA
rnacentral:rRNA from 1 species